rfam:Otolemur garnettii contig177944, whole genome shotgun sequence.
GUGCUUGCUUCAGCAGCACAUAUACUAAAAUUGGAACAAUAUAGAGAUUAGCAUGGCCCUGUGCAAAUAUUUAACAUUAAACACAAAAUAAAAGAAAAAUAUAG